rnacentral:lncRNA from 1 species
CUUGGACUCUUUCUUCACAAGAAGCAAAGGAAAAACACACUUAAAAGUACCAGGUUCCACAUCUAUGAAGCUCCCCAGGAGGAGAAGGUAGAAACCUCUGACAACAGUGGACAUGUGGACGCUUAGGAACCAGCACCUCAAAGUCAUGGCCUCAGGAGCCCCAGAAAGGACCACGGAGGCCAAGAGGAGCGUGGAGAGAUGCACACUGUCAUCGGUCACCCUGAAACAGGCAAUGCAGGCUUGGCCAGUGAACAGUUCAGCACUACCAGGAUGGAGGGGGAUUUGAGGUCUCAGAAUUUUCUAAGCAAAAUGUGUGCCUGGAAAAGGACUCCUGCAGGCCGGGCGCGG